AUGUCUCUGAGCUGCUGGUCCUGGUUCCUCGCCUUCGCCUGGGUUUGGUGUCUGCCACUGAUGCUCAUGGCGGCCGAGGAGCAGCAAGGGGAUGGCUGCUUGGCCAAGUGUGGCAGCGUCACCAUCUCCCCCCCGUUCUGGCUCACUGAUUGGCAAACAGGAAGAUUAUGUGGUUCGCCUGGACCGCUGGACUUCGAGCUUACAUGCUAUAACGGCAGUUAUCCACUUCUUCCAAGCUCUGUGCCCAACAACGCCGGCUUUGCAAUCAUGGACAUAUCCUAUGAGGAACGCAGCUUGCGCGUCGUUGAUCUACGCAAGCUGCAACUAUUACACGACCCGCCCAACAUCUUCAACAGCUGCUUGCCGAUGUGGAACACCUCUGCCAAACUGGGCCGCCCGUUUAAGAUCUCCCCCGUCAACCUGGAACUCAUCUUGUACAACUGCACGGAGAAGGCCGCCGCGGCGGCACGCCUGGAUAAAGAACUGGUGCAGGCGAAGACGAUGAGGUGCGUGAACACAAGCAACACGUUUGUUCAUGCGGGGGUGCCAUACGACACCACCGGGACCUACUCUAGUUAUGCUUUGGAGGGCUGCGUUCCAAUCGUCUUGCCGGUGCUGCGCUUGCCAUCCGGCGAGACGAACACGAGCCACUACGAGCGGCUCAUCCAAAGUGGCUUCCUCCUGAAAUGGGAACUGCCCCCUCCUCUCCCUGCACCUGCACCUAGGAAUGAACCACCUCCCCCUCCAGGUAGUGAGAGGAGAGCGAAGAAGAUUAUACUAAUAGGUAUAACAUCAGCAGCUGCAACCUUUCUCUUUGCAUGUCUUUAUGUGCUCAUAUGGCAUAGAAAUGGGAAAGGACUAUGGUUUUUCCUUUGCAAGACUAGCAGUAAAACUGAAAAAAAAUACGAGGCCAUGAUAGUGUCAUAUGGAUCCCUAGCUCCAAAAAGAUACAUGUACUCAGAGGUAAUGAAGAUAACGUCUUCUCGCAACAAUCAGCUUGGAAAAGGUGGUUACGGUGUGGUUUUCAAAGGAAAACUACAUGAUGGUCGUCUGGUUGCAGUGAAAUUCUUGCAUGACUGCAAAGGAAAUGGAGAUGAGUUUGUGAAUGAGGUUAUGAGCAUUGGCAGGACCUCUCAUGUUAAUGUUGUUAGCUUAUUUGGGUUUUGUUUGGAGGGAUCAAAACGAGCUCUUAUAUACGAGUACAUGCCCAAUGGUUCCUUGGAUAAGUACAUUUACUCAGGGAGCCCCAAAGAAAUUUUAGGAUGGGAGAGGCUCUAUGCGAUAGCAAUCGGGAUUGCUCGUGGCCUCGAAUACUUGCACUAUAGCUGUAAUACACGUAUCAUCCAUUUCGACAUCAAACCCCAAAAUAUACUUCUAGACAGGGAUUUUAGCCCAAAGAUUGCUGAUUUUGGUCUAGCUAAAUUGUGUCAUACAAAGGAGAGCAAGCUUUCAAUUACAGGAGCUAGAGGAACAAUUGGAUUCAUUGCACCAGAAGUUCACUCUCGAACCUUCGGGGUGGUUUCAACAAAGUCAGAUGUUUAUAGUUAUGGAAUGAUGCUGCUAGAGAUGGUUGGAGGGAGGAGAAAUGUAAGAUUAAUUGCUGCAAAAUCCAGUGAAAAGUAUUUCCCUGAUUGGAUCUAUGACCACUUUGCGCAAGAUGAUGGAUUAGAAGCAUGUGAAGUCACCAAUGAAAUAGAGGAGAUUGCGAGAAAGAUGAUCUUAAUUGGCUUGUGGUGUAUACAAGUAAUACCCUUGCAUCGUCCUACUAUAACAAAGGUUUUAGAAAUGUUUGAGAGAAGCUUAGAUGAUUUGGAUAUGCCGCCGAAGCAGAACUUCUGUGAACUACUUGAAAGUUCAGCUCACAAUAUGGAUGUACAAAGUGGAAGUUCUACAAGAUCGGAGGAGACAAGCCUCGCGAAUUCCAAAAUCCUGCAACAACUGUGA
rnacentral:rRNA from 1 species